GACGAACGCUGGCGGCGUGCUUAACACAUGCAAGUCGAACGGAAAGGCCCUGCUUGCAGGGUACUCGAGUGGCGAACGGGUGAGUAACACGUGGGUGAUCUGCCCUGCACUUCGGGAUAAGCCUGGGAAACUGGGUCUAAUACCGGAUAGGAGCCAUUUUUAGUGUGAUGGUUGGAAAGUUUUUUCGGUGUAGGAUGAGCUCGCGGCCUAUCAGCUUGUUGGUGGGGUAAUGGCCUACCAAGGCGGCGACGGGUAGCCGGCCUGAGAGGGUGGACGGCCACCUUGGGACUGAGAUACGGCCCAGACUCCUACGGGGGGCAUCAGUGGGGAAUAUUGCACAAUGGGCGCAAGCCUGAUGCAGCGACGCCGCGUGGGGGAUGACGGCCUUCGGGUUGUAAACUCCUUUCGCUAGGGACGAAGCUUUUUGUGACGGUACCUAGAUAAGAAGCACCGGCUAACUACGUG
rnacentral:rRNA from 1 species